GGGUGACUAAACAAGACAUAUCUUGAUAUUGGUAAAACAGUGACAUAUCAAAACGGUCAUAGCUUGUGCAUUGAGAAAUUCCACCAGAGGUUAACAUAACAAGACGAGGGUCCAUUUUGUUGGCUUGCAAACCCACGUAAUGAUUAAUAGGGACAGUCGGGGGCGUCAGUAUUGUGUUGUCAGAGGUGAAAUUCUUGGAUUUACACAAGACUAACUACUGCGAAUGCAUUCGCCAAGGAUGCAGGAUGAACCGAACGUGGAGUUAAGGUGCCGGAAUACAAGAUGAUCAGAUACCGUCGUACUAUGCCGACUGAGGUGGGCACCGCAGUUACGGUGGCUGCGCUCUGAUCAGGUUCUGGCGGAUUGACGGAAGGGCACCACCAGGAGUGGAGCCUGCGGCUUAAUUUGACUCAACACGGGGAAACUCACCAGGUCCAGACACAAUAAGGAUUGUCAGAUUGAUAGCUCUUUCUGGGUGGAGGUGCAUGGCCGUUCUUAGUUGGUGGAGUGAUUUGUCUGCUUAAUUGCGAUAACGAACGAGACCUUGACCUACUAACUAGUCAGCAGGUAUUUUCUUCUUAGAGGGACUAUCUAUUAAAAGUAGAGGGAAGUAUGAGGCAAUAACAGGUCUGUGAUGCCCUUGGACGUUCUGGGCCGCACGCGCGCUACACUGACGGAGCCAGCGAGUUGGCCAAGCCUGAGAAGGCUAGGUAAUCUUGUGAAACUCCGUCGUGCUGGGGAUAGAGCAUUGCAAUUAUUGCUCUUGAACGAGGAAUUCCUAGUAAGCGCAAGUCAUCAGCUUGCGUUGAUUACGUCCCUGCCCUUUGUACACACCGCCCGUCGCUACUACCGAUUGAAUGGUUUAGUGAGGCAUUGGGAGAGUUUGAUAGUGGGGGCG
rnacentral:rRNA from 1 species